rnacentral:rRNA from 1 species
AAUUAAUUAUUAUUUUUAUUUGUUGUUCAUUUAGUAUUUAAUUGAAAUAACUUUGAUUAAUUUGUGUUAUAGUAUAUUUUAUAGAAAAAAUUGUUUAAAUUAUAGUUUAUUUGUAAUGUAAAUGUUUUAUUAAUCAAUAUUUUAAUGAAAAGUAGACUUAAAUUGUUGUACCUUUUGUAUCAGGGUUUUUCAAAAAUUUAUUAUUUAUUUGAUUUUCUCGAUUUGAAUAGAUUUAUAAGGUUAUUAAAGUUAAUGUUGAAUAUUUAUUUUUAAUAGUUUUAUUGAGGUGAUAUGUCAUUCGUAUUUCAAGGUAUCUAGUUUCUUAAGUUAAAAUUUAAUUUUAUCACCAGUUGUUUUAAUUUAUUUAUAUAAUUUAAUAUAACUGGUGUUUUAUAUUUUAGGGGAUAAGCUCUGGAAUAUUUCUAUAAUAUUUAUAUUUGAGUAUAAUUGUAGGCUUUGAACCAGCCAACGUAUUUGAUUUCGUUUUAGUUCAUUAUAAUUAAUUAUGAUUUAUUAAUAUAUUUAGAUUUACAAUUAAGAUGAUUUCACUAAUAAUUAUUGUUAUGUAAUAAUGGAUAAAUUAGUAUAGAAUUAUGUAGUUUGUUUCCCAUAUAGAUAACUUACUAUAAGGAAUUAGGCAAUAUAAUUCUCGCCUGUUUAUCAAAAACAUGUCUUUUUGAUUAUAAUAUUAAGUCUGGCCUGCUCACUGAUUAAUUAAAGAGCCGCGGUAUUUUGACCGUGCAAAGGUAGCAUAAUCAUUAGUCUUUUAAUGAAGGCUGGUAUGAAUGGUUUGACGAGGAAUUAACUGUCUCUUAGUAAUUGAUGGAAUUUAACUUUUGAGUUAGAAGGCUCAAAUGUUUUUUGAGGACGAGAAGACCCUAUAGAGCUUUAUAUAUUUAUGUAAUGUAUUUUUUGGAUUGUUUUUUUACAUGCAUUAGUUAUAUUUUGUUGGGGUGACAUAAAGGAUAAUUAAACUCUUUAUUUUGUAAUCAUUAAUUAAUGAUUAAUUGAUCCAUAAUUUAUGAUCAUAAGAUUAAGUUACCUUAGGGAUAACAGCGUAAUUAAUUUUGAGAGUUCAUAUUGACAAAUUAGAUUGCGACCUCGAUGUUGGAUUAAGAUGGAUUCUGGGUGCAGAAGCCCAGCGAUUAGGUCUGUUCGACCUUUAAAUUCUUACAUGAUCUGAGUUCAGACCGGCGUAAGCCAGGUCGGUUUCUAUCCUAAAAUAUAAUUUUUAUGUUAGUACGAAAGGACCAUAUAAUUGAAAUAUUUUUUUUUCUAGUGAUUAUGAUUAAUUGUU